GACGAACCGUGCGAACGUUUAUUCGGAAUCACUGGGCUUAAAGCGCGUGUAGGCGGGACGGCACGUCGGUCGCUGAAAUCCCCCGGCUCAACCGGGGAACGGGCGCCGAUACGACCGCCCUGGAGGGACGUAGGGGGACCUGGAACUUCCGGUGGAGCGGUGAAAUGCGUUGAGAUCGGAAGGAACGCCCGUGGCGAAAGCGAGGUCCUGGACGUUUUUCUGACGCUGAGACGCGAAAGCCAGGGGAGCGAACGGG
rnacentral:rRNA from 1 species